ACCCGCACAAGCGUGGAUGAUGUGGAUUAAUUCGAUGCAACGCGAAAACCUUACCUACCCUUGACAUGUCCGGAAUCCCGAAGAGAUUUGGGAGUGCUCGCAAGAGAGCCGGAACACAGGUGCUGCAUGGCUGUCGUCAGCUCGUGUCGUGAGAUGUUGGGUUAAGUCCCGCAACGAGCGCAACCCUUGUCAUUAGUUGCCAUCAUUUGGUUGGGCACUCUAAUGAGACUGCCGGUGACAAACCGGAGGAAAGGUGGGGAUGACGUCAAGUCCUCAUGGCCCUUAUGGGUAGGGCUUCACACGUCAUACAAUGGUCGGUACAGAGGGUUGCCAACCCGCGAGGGGGAGCUAAUCCCACAAAGCCGAUCGUAGUCCGGAUCGCAGUCUGCAACUCGACUGCGUGAAGUCGGAAUCGCUAGUAAUCGUGGAUCAGCAUGUCACGGUGAAUACGUUCCCGGGUCUU
rnacentral:rRNA from 1 species